rnacentral:tRNA from 1 species
GGAGAGGUGUCCGAGCGGCCGAAGGAGCACGACUGGAAAUCGUGUGUGCGCAAAAACGCACCAGGGGUUCAAAUCCCCUCCUCUCCGCCA